AGUGCAUGAACAUGAUUAUCCAGUAGCCAUAGAACAUCCCGUGUCCAUGAAAGGUGCAGGGGAUGUCUUGGGUGAUUUGGAAAGUUCUUGAUACCCAGAUUACGAAAAGUUCGGGUGCCAGGCUGAAAUCCUGUCAGUUUUCGAGAAAAGAGGGGGGGAAGUUUGGAGUGCAGUGCUUCAGUUUUUGACCAUUUUGGUCCACUUCAAACCAAAUUAAAGCAGAUAUUAGUAAUGGAAUCGA